GACGAACGCUGGCGGCGUGCUUAACACAUGCAAGUCGAACGGAAAGGCCCUGCUUUUGUGGGGUGCUCGAGUGGCGAACGGGUGAGUAACACGUGAGUAACCUGCCCUUGACUUUGGGAUAACUUCAGGAAACUGGGGCUAAUACCGGAUAGGAGCUCCUGCUGCAUGGUGGGGGUUGGAAAGUUUCGGCGGUUGGGGAUGGACUCGCGGCUUAUCAGCUUGUUGGUGGGGUAGUGGCUUACCAAGGCUUUGACGGGUAGCCGGCCUGAGAGGGUGACCGGCCACAUUGGGACUGAGAUACGGCCCAGACUCCUACGGGAGGCAGCAGCGGGGAAUAUUGCACAAUGGGCGGAAGCCUGAUGCAGCAACGCCGCGUGCGGGAUGACGGCCUUCGGGUUGUAACCGCUUUCGCCUGUGACGAAGCGUGAGUGACGGUAAUGGGUAAAGAAGCACCGGCUAACUACGU
rnacentral:rRNA from 1 species